rnacentral:rRNA from 1 species
UCGGACAUCAGGAGGUUAGUGCAAUGGCAUAAGCCAGCUUGACUGCGAGCGUGACGGCGCGAGCAGGUGCGAAAGCAGGUCAUAGUGAUCCGGUGGUUCUGAAUGGAAGGGCCAUCGCUCAACGGAUAAAAGGUACUCCGGGGAUAACAGGCUGAUACCGCCCAAGAGUUCAUAUCGACGGCGGUGUUUGGCACCUCGAUGUCGGCUCAUCACAUCCUGGGGCUGAAGUAGGUCCCAAGGGUAUGGCUGUUCGCCAUUUAAAGUGGUACGCGAGCUGGGUUUAGAACGUCGUGAGACAGUUCGGUCCCUAUCUGCCGUGGGCGCUGGAGAAUUGAGGGGGGCUGCUCCUAGUACGAGAGGACCGGAGUGGACGCAUCACUGGUGUUCGGGUUGUCAUGCCAAUGGCACUGCCCGGUAGCUAAAUGCGGAAGAGAUAAGUGCUGAAAGCAUCUAAGCACGAAACUUGCCCCGAGAUGAGUUCUCCCUGACUCCUUGAGAGUCCUGAAGGAACGUUGAAGACGACGACGUUGAUAGGCCGGGUGUGUAAGCGCAGCGAUGCGUUGAGCUAACCGGUACUAAUGAACCGUGAGGCUUAACCUU